rnacentral:rRNA from 1 species
GUAACGGCGAGUGAAGCGGUAACAGCUCAAAUUUGAAAGCUAGCUCUUUUAGGGUUCGCAUUGUAAUUUGUAGAAGAUGCUUCGGGUGUGGCCCCGGUCUAAGUUCCUUGGAACAGGACGUCAUAGAGGGUGAGAAUCCCGUAUGUGACUGGGCGCUUUCGCUCAUGUGAAGCUCUUUCGACGAGUCGAGUUGUUUGGGAAUGCAGCUCAAAACGGGUGGUAAAUUUCAUCUAAAGCUAAAUAUUGGCCAGAGACCGAUAGCGCACAAGUAGAGUGGUCGAAAGAUGAAAAGCACUUUGGAAAGAGAGUUAAACAGUACGUGAAAUUGUUGAAAGGGAAGCGCUUGCAACCAGACUUGCGCGCUGAUGAUCAUCCGGGCUUCUGCCCGGUGCACUCGUCUGCGCUCAGGCCAGCAUCGGUUUUGGUGGUGGGAUAAAGGCCUUGGGAAUGUAGCUUCUUUCGGGGAGUGUUAUAGCCCUCGGUGCAAUGCCGCCUACCGGGACCGAGGACCGCGCUUCGGCUAGGAUGC